UGGGGAAUCUUCCGCAAUGGACGAAAGUCUGACGGAGCAACGCCGCGUGAGUGAAGACGGCCUUCGGGUUGUAAAGCUCUGUGAUCCGGGACGAAAGAGCCUGAGGUGAAUUGCCUAAGGAAGUGACGGUACCGGAAAAGCAAGCCACGGCUAACUACGUGCCAGCAGCCGCGGUAAUACGUAGGUGGCAAGCGUUGUCCGGAAUUAUUGGGCGUAAAGCGCGCGCAGGCGGCUUCCUAAGUCCAUCUUAAAAGUGCGGGGCUUAACCCCGUGAUGGGAUGGAAACUGGGAAGCUGGAGUAUCGGAGAGGAAAGUGGAAUUCCUAGUGUAGCGGUGAAAUGCGUAGAGAUUAGGAAGAACACCGGUGGCGAAGGCGACUUUCUGGACGAAAACUGACGCUGAGGCGCGAAAGCGUGGGGAGCAAACAGG
rnacentral:rRNA from 1 species